rnacentral:rRNA from 1 species
UACGGAGGGUGCAAGCGUUGUCCGGAUUUAUUGGGUUUAAAGGGUGCGUAGGCGGCCCGGUAAGUCAGUGGUGAAAGCCUCCAGCUCAACUGGAGAACUGCCAUUGAUACUGCCGGGUUUGAGUACAGACGAGGUUGGCGGAAUUGAUUGUGUAGCGGUGAAAUGCAUAGAUACAAUCAAGAACUCCGAUUGCGUAGGCAGCUAACUAGGCUGUAACUGACGCUGAGGCACGAAAGCGUGGGGAGCGAACAGG